AUGCUAUUAAUUCAAAGAUAUUUUUUCUCUCUUAGAAGGACCAUCUGGUUACUCAAAGGAAAAUGCUUAUCCAUUUCUCUGAACAGAGUGACAGAAUUAGUGCCAACCCUCUGGAAGUAUUACUGUUAUAACAUAGUUCAAAACCAAUUUCAUAACCUGGGACAGACACUGAAAUUUUUGAGAAAGAACACAGCCCCCACAACUUUAUGUCAGCUGAUGCUUUGCUCCCAGAGAAUUGACAUCACAGAAAGUGUAAAGACUGCUGAGUACUCUUGUGAUUAUUUUCCUCCACCUUUCAUCUGUGUCAAUUGUGAACACAAUCAUCCACGUUUAACGUCACAUUUGAAUUGGAGGAAGAAGUGGACAGCUUAA
rnacentral:lncRNA from 1 species